UCCGGAGUAGCUCAAAUGGAAGAGCAUCAGACUCUGAAUCUGAAGGUUGAAGGUUCGAUUCCUUCCUCCGGAUCCA
rnacentral:tRNA from 1 species